AUGUGUGACCAUUGGGAACGGUUUAUCCACUUUCUUCUGGUUAGAUCAUUGGGUCUCCCAGAACCUUUGUGCAUUGCUUUCCCGGCGUUGUUUUCACACCAUACAAAGCCAAAUGCAUUCGUAGCCACUAUAUCGAUGGAUGGGAUUGAUCUGGGCUUGCGUAGCUGGCUAACCUUAACUGCUUCCAAUGAACUUGCUUCCUUGAGAUUACUGUUGCAAGAUGUCAGUCUGUUGAGUGCCCCCAACGCUAGGACCCUACUUAAUGGCGCCGCCUUCACCACCAAGGGCGCCUACGACGCGAUGGCUUCUCAACUGGCUGACCCUACUCUUGCUCGUAUCUGGGACUCGUGUGUCCCCAGCAGAGUGAGGGUGUUCGGCUGGCUUUUCUACCUCGACCGGCUCAACACACGGGCAAACUUGCACUGA
rnacentral:rRNA from 1 species